AAGUUAUUCUUUAAGAAUUAAAUCUGUAGCUGUCUAGAAUGUUCUCUUGGUUCUACUCAUUUCACUCUUCAGUAUCUCAUAUAGUCCUUUCCAAUUAAAAAAUAAUAACUGCUCAUUGUUUCUUGAGGUGCCAUAGUAUUCCAUCACAAUCAUAUACCACAAAUUGUUUAGCCAUUUCCCAAAUGAUGGACAUUGGAAUAGGAAGAGGAAGUUUGCAAAAUGACUUUGCAAUGUAAACUUCCAAGUGAUUGACAGGGGCAUGUGACAGUCACAUGGGAGCCUGGAGUCAAGAUCUGGGUGAAGAUUCCAAGGUCCCAACUGAAGAAAGCUCUCUAUCCUGAAGGAGGUUUGGAGAUUAGAGGUUUUUCCAUCUAUAUACCAGAUUUCUGGCCUUUUGGUGAUACGAGCUGAAGAGAGAGGAAUCCUGUUUGAACUAGCUGCUGGCAGCUGGACAAAGACUAAAGACCCACUUCUCUACUGGACAGUUUCAUCUGAAGAUUGGACUCCAUUUGAUUGCUACAUAUUUGCUUAUAUGUGACUUCAUCUGCAAGAAACAAUAGCAAAAAUGCAGAAAACCUUCUCCACUUCACAACAAUUCAAGAAGUAAAACCUUUCCGAAGCCCACUUUCACAUACUUGAGGUUUUUUUCAAGUUGUGUCCAGGUCUUCAUGAUCUGUUCAUGAAGAUGAGAUGUUUGAGGAAGUAUUGUAGAAAGGAAAACUGUGAAUCAAGCUUUUGCAUUUCUGCCAACUGAGGUGGAGCAGACAUAGGUUGGAAUGUGAUGGGAGGGGGCAUGAUAUAUCGUUGGAGUGAGAGAAGAGGAUCGUGGGAGAAACUGCUAACUAGAGGGUCUUUGCCCUCUGAACUCUGCUGAGUGUGGAACAAAGACCUGGAGCUCUAGAUCCCAACCUGUGGAAAAGCAUUGCUUCCAUUUCCCUUACCCAGAAGAAAAGAAGGUUCUUGUAUGUUUGAGAGCAUCCAUGAAAGAAAGAAUAAACAACAACAGCUGCUGAGAAGGGAGUGAUCCCUUAACUUCAGGAGUUUACCGUGAAGCUCCUUUCUAUCCCUUGACCUUCCCAAAAAGGACACUUGCCACUCGUUAAGGUAGGAGAGAGACAAAGAUUAGCUAAGAAGAAGAUAGAUAAGUUGAAGCUGAAGCUGAAGAAAACUAGAAACCCAGGAGGGUCUCCUCUUCCUUCAAACUUUUCCCCUUUCUUAAUUUAGUAAAAUCAUUAAACUACUUGAAAAAUUGAAAAUCACAGUCAGAUUCAUAUUGAUGGGAAAACAAAGAACAAGAGGCUAGUGGCUAAGAGAGUCAUUUGCCUAGGUGAAACAAUAACAAGAGCCAAUAGUAACAGUCUGUUUGCCAGACAAGGGAAACCCCUGGGGUUCAACUACUAGUCAAGCCUUGCUAAGUUAUCUCCACUAGUCCCCAGAAGUUCUCUCAAGGACACUGAUCCUGUCAUCAUUAAAAUAACCUUACCCAGGGUUACCUCUCUUGUAGGUUGAGUGAAGGAAAUUACAAAGACAGUCUCUCUCAGCCACAGAGGGUAUUCCUCCAUUUUAACCCUCCAGGCCUCCAAAGUCUCUCUGUCCUUUCACCUCAUCACUUCCCUGUAAUCAACCCUUCCUUAUCCCAGUACCUAUUCAAUCCUGUUCAAUUACAUUCAUUUAUUGCAGUAUGAAAAGGUUUGGAAGAGCUUCUGGGUGAUUGGGAUAGCAAAUCAAUUUUGUUGUUCAGCCAUUUCGGUCAUGCCUGACUCUUCAUGACCCCAUUUGGAGUUUUCUUGGCAGAGAUACUAGUUUGCCAUUUCCUUCUCCAACUCAUUUUCAAGAUGAAAAAACUAGGGCAAACAAGGUCAAAUGACUUAGACACAUAGCAGUUUCUGGGGCCAGAUUCAAAUUCAGCAAAAUUAAUCUUUCUGUUUCCACACUCAGUUCUCUAUCCAUUGCACCACUUAGCUGCCCCAGUGUGUCAGUUAGGGAGGUAUGAAAGAAUUGUCUUGCAACAAACAGUAAAUGCCCCCAUGAGGUAGCAUAAAUUUAUGGAGGACCCACUUAGCAUGGUUUCAUGAUUUUCAGCAGCUUUAUUUACCACCAAGUGAGUAGGAGCAAAAGCAGCAUGUAGCAGUCCGCCCCCUAGCUAUGGGCAAGGGGAACAGUCAGUCUUGGGCAUGCUCAGUAGUGCUCAUGGCUGGGAAGGCCUCUGACCCUUGACCCCAGCUUCUCCCAGGUUAGGCGGGAAAACAGGUUUCUUUGUUCUCCCCUGGUUAAGAGAAACCACACCUAUGCCUUGUCAUUAACCAAUGAGAAUCAUCCCUAUGUACUGUGUAUAUUUGCAUAUCAAAAACUAUAUUCAGCCCAGCAAGCUCCGCCUUCUCUCUCUCUGCUCUCUCUUCUCUUUCAGGCUACCUGAUGGCUGUCCUUGCAGGAGCUUGGCCUCUGGCCAAGCUCCAUCUUUAAUCUUUCUCUAUUCACCUCUCUGACCUGUGUGGUAUGGAUCUCAGGACUGGAAAAGCCUACGCAAUGGUCCUUUGAUCAGAGCUUAGCUGUGGCUCAUUGAUAAUUAAUAAAGACUCAUUCUGACCACCUCAUAUCUCUAAUAGGACUCCGUCACUCCCCUCGUGGUAUCAAAACUUCUAUCCUGUCUCUAUCUUCCUACCUUGUGGCUUCUCUCCACUCUGAGAGAGAGCUAACACAGCAGAUGGUGGGAAUAGCUAGUGGUCAAGACUUGUCAAGACGAGAUCUUCAAAAGGUUUAGUGGGCAAGAGAUUUAAGGGAAGAUGGCAGCAUAGUGUGCAACUGGUUUACCAAAGGAUCAGAUGAGAAGAAGAGGGUAAGUGUAUCUAGUGCACGGGUGAUGGAUGGACUCAGAAAUAACUGAUAGGUGGAGUGACUGGAAGUAUGUAAACCCAAGACAUUUUCCUGACUCCAUGUCAAGCAUUCUUAUGUACUAUCAUAUGCUGACUUUCUGCAUAAUCGCAAUAUUCCUAAUAAAAAUAUCAAAAAACUCCUUAGAAAUGUUACAACUAUAACAUUGCUAGUUUAUAAAAAAGAUCCCAUAUUCUGAUAUUGAUAUGUAUGUGCUUUCUUGGAGAGGAAAUUAUACAGAGAGACAGACAAAGAGACAAAGACAAAGACAGAGACAGAGACAGAGACAGAGACAGAGACAGAUUGUUUAUUUGCAGUGGAUGGCAUAGAGAUCAACAUUCCCCAUUUAUUCCUCAAACUACUAAUUCAAUUUGUCUAAAUGGAUUUCCCGGUAUAAAAGUUUCCUUCUCCCUUCAGAGAAGAAACAUUAAAAUUUUUACAAUUCUCUGUAUUUUAGUUAAAGUCCCCAGAAACUAGAGAUAGAGAGUGCUUUGGGCAAAAUAAGCUCAGUACUAAAACUAUCUGUUUCUUCUCUGGAGAUGUUUCCUUCUUAGUUGCCUCCUCCCAAAUGUUUUCCCAUUAAGUACACCCCAAAGAACAAAUGCUUCUGGUUAAUGAAACUUAUAAAGAUACAGUGAAUAUUUAAAACAAAGAAAGGAGAACAGACUUUCCCCAUGCCUAAAAGAUUUCAGGCUCCUGUGAAAGAGUCUAAUGGUGAAAUGAUUCCCUUGUGAUCUGUAGUCUUGAGGGGUUUCAGCAAUUUAGCUUCUGUCACAUUACAAGUGACCCAACUGCCCAAGAGGACCUGAUCUCAAAGUUCUGGCCCUUUUCUUUGUGACAUUUUCUUUUUCCCCCCCAUUCUCCCUGUUCCUUGUACCUUCAGGAAGCUUUCUCUUUCUUUUUGUGUUUCAUCAAGAGUUGAGUCCUUUGAGUUCAUUUUUAGACUCAAUGAACUGAUUUCAAGGCUACCUACAGGCAUGAUCUAUCAUUUUUCAUCUUAUGGAAUUGCUUAUUUUCAGAUUCAUUCAAGGAACAAAUUUUUAACCUUAUAGAAGAGUCAUUGAUUAAUGAAUUAGGUCUUUGAAAUGCCAAAAUCCAUAUAUUUUUAAGAUAAAAGAAGAAAUUUGAAAUGUAUGUCUCUAUCAUACUUAAUAAUAUUUGUCCUAACAAAUCCAAAUGAUAUAACCUUUAUUUUAAAUAUUUUAUCUAUUUUUUAACUUUUUCCAGCAAUAUGUUAUACUGUCAUAUAUACAGUAUUUGUGGUAAUAUUAAAAUCUUGGGCAGCUAGGUGGUUUGGUCCACAGAGUACCAGACCUAGAGUCUGGAAGAUUUGUCUUCCUGAAUUCAAGUCUAAUCUCAGACACUUACUAGCUGUGUGAUGUUGGGCAGGUCAUGUAAUCCUGUUUGCCUCAGUUUCUUCAUCUGUAAAAUAAGCUGGUAAAGGAAAUGGCAAAUCAUUCAAGUAUCUUUGCCAAAAAAACUCCAAAUGGAACCAUGAAAAGUCAGAUGACUGAACAACAACAAUAAAAUUCAGGGAUGUCUAAAAUCAAGAGGAUGGAGUAUAUAUUCACAGAAUAAUGGAAAGAGAUUAGAAAUAAAAAUUCCAAAACCUAAGUAAGGAUCUUGUUGUCCCUCUAGUCUAAGAAUCUUAUCUACAACAUAAUUGAAUAAAUAUGGACAUGAACCCUAACUCUUACUCAUUUUGUAACCUUGGGCAAGUCACUUCAGUUUUCUGGAUUUCACUUUCUUUAUAUGUAUUUUUUUGCACCCUUACUGUGUAUUGGCUCCAAGGCAGAAGAGUGGUAAGGGCUAGGCAAUGGGGGUCAAGUGACUUACCCAGGAUCACACAGCUGGGAAGUGUCUGAGGCCAUAUUUGAACCUAGGACCUCCCAUUUCUAGGCCUGGCUCUCAAUCCACUAAGCUGCCCAGCUGCCCCCUCACUUUCUUUAUCUGAAAAAAAAAAAAAAACCUAGGGAAUCAUACAAGUUGACCUCCAGUUAGCUUUCAAUUCUAAAUGCUUUGAACUAUAAAUCUACAGGGGCAUUUUAAAAUAUUAAUUCCUUUAUAUUUGCAUAGGAUUUCACAUAUAUCAAAAUGCUUUUCCAUACAUUAUUUCCUUUGUCCUUCACAACAACCCUAUACGGUAGGCAGACCAGGCACUGUCAUUGCCAUUUUACAGUUAAAGAAAAUGAAACAGAGAAGUAAGUCAGCUACCCCAAGGUCACAUAGGUAAUGGGAGAAUCAGAUCUGGGACUUCGGUUGCCAUAUUCCAAAUCUAACGUUCUCUACUAUGCUGCCCUGCUUUUGUUUAAAAACAGCAAUAGCCAUAACAACAUAAAAGAGAUGAACAAAAGUUUCAUUUCUUACAUUUUGUUGAUAUUCCUUUUAUCUGGCUUGUGCAGAGGAAACUUCACCACAGCUUAGAAUCUUUACUUAAUUUUCAUGGAUCUGGAACUGGCAAGACCUCAAAAGGUCAUCUAGCCCAAUCUCUUCAUUUUAUGCAUAAGAACUAUGAAGCCCAGGGAAGUUCACUGAAUUGCCCAAGGUCAUACAAUCAGUAAGUAGCUAAAAUGAGAUUUGAGCCUAGUCAUCAAAUAUCAAAACCAAGUCUCUCAGCGAUUCUUACUACUGCUUUCCAAGUGGUAUAACUAAACCAAAGCACAGAUAUGCAAAUGUUUGCAACAUCUUGGAACAUUGCAAUUUAAAAAUACUAAAUUUACCCACUUAUUGACAGAGCAGAAAUUUAUACUUAAAUGAAUUAAGUCCUAAAUUGUUAUCCCUUGCAGGGAAGAAAGUUGCUAUAUAUUUCAAUUAGAAACUUUUGUGGAGGGAAGUUAUUUUAAAUUCUAUUAUGAAAAAGGAAAACAAAUUCACAGGUUUGUUUCAUUAAUAAAUCAACCACUUAGGUUGGAACAGAUCUCAGGGGCCAUCUAUAACGGCUCCAUCAUCUUAUAAAUGGGCAAACUGAGGUCCCAAAGAAGAAGUCAGGCAGGCAGUCAAUAAGCUGCUAUUAUAUGUCAGGCACUGUGCUAAGUAUAAGCUUUUAAAAGGAUAAAAGAAUCCCUGACCUCAGGAUUUUACAAUUUAAUGAGGAAAUAUAACACAUAAAAAAGGAAACUGAAAAUUGGUAAGAUGAAGUACCCAAGCUAGAUAGGAAAUAAUGGUGUGGCUGCCCUGGGUCCUUUCUUAAAGGGAGAUUCUGGAGAGAGCUCUCUGAUGUCUACCUUUGACUCUUUCUAAUCAGAGGAGAGGGGCAGGUUUAGGGACAAGAGGUACUAAGAAGGCACCAGUAUCAGAGUGUAUGAUUUUGUGUGAUUUAUAUGAUUUUGCAGGAAGAUUAGUUUCUGGAGACAAUGAUGACAUCCAGGAGGGAAUCCAUGGAGAAGCUGCCCUGGACCCCAUCCUUAGAUGGAGGGAUGUGAGAGGACCUGUCCACCCUUGACUCUCCAUUCAGAGUGAAGGAGGAACCCCAGGGGUAAGAUGUAGCAUACCCAAGUUCAUAGCAACUAGUGAGUUGCAGAGUCAAAACUAAUACCUAGAUUUCCUGAAUAUUCUGUGUAUCAUGAUAAGUGUGUAUAUAUGUACAUAUAGUUUAAAAUUAAUUUUAAGAAUUAAAUAAAAUUCUCAAUGGCCAAAAAAAAUCUAUUUUUCUCUCCAUCUCACAUGCUCACUCAAUGAAAAAAAAAACUAUUGUAAUGAAUAUAGGCAGUUAAGCAAAACUAAUUCCUAUUGGUUAUGUCCAAAAACUAGAUGGCUUGAUUGGAACCCUGAAACCAUCACCACUCUGUCAGAAGGCUAGUAGCAUGCUUCAUCAUGGGUAUUCUGUAAUCAUGGCUGGUCUUUAUUGAUAAGUUCUUAAGUUUUUUAAAGCUGUCUUUAUAAUGUUGCUGUUGCAUAAAUUAUUUUCCUGGUUCUGUUCACAUCACUGUGUAUCAGUUUAUACAAAUCUUCCCAGUUUUCUCUGAAACUAUUUAUUUCACAAAUUCUUAUGGUACAAUAAUAUUGUAUUGCAUUCACAUACCACUAUUUGUUCAGCUGCUCCCCAACUGAUGAGUACUUUCCCUUAGCUUCCAAAUCUUUUCUACUGUAAAAGGAACUGCUGUAAGUAAUGUUUCUCUGUAUAAGACUGUUUCCUCUUUCUUUGAUCUCUUUCCAGUAUAUACCUAAUAGUAGUAUUCAAAAGUUAACAACUUUAAGGGGGCACAGUUCUACAUUGCUUUCCAGAAUGGUUGGAUCAAUUUAUUGCUCCACAAACAGUAAAUUAAUAUGCUUGUUUUCCUGUAGCACACUCCAUCCCACAAACAUUUGUUAUUUUCCCCUUUUUAUUAACUUUGUCAAUCUGAUGAGUAUCAGGUAGAACCACGUUUUAAAUUGCAUUUUUGUAAUUGAUAUUGAUUUGAUUAUUGAUACUUUGGAUUUCUUCCUCUAAAAACUGCCUGAUCAUAUGUUUUGACAUUUAUCAAUUGGGAGAUGACUCCAUUAUACAUUGUUUUAAAGGAUAGUCUCUUUAUUUCAAUUGAAUCUGUUUAUUUAAAGUAACCAAUUCUCUAGCAGCUCUUUUUUUCCUAUGAUUAAUGAUAAAGAUGGGGACUUUGAAAAAAUGGUAACUGAAUAAAAGUAAAGAUAUUGCCCAUGAGUCUUACCUUUUAUGGAGAGGUUUAAUUAAUACUAAAUUAUUGCCACCCCAAGGACAUUGAGAGAACUCAUAAACUGUGUUAGUUGGAAAAUAAAUAUUCUCUUUGCUAAGAAGAAAGCCAAUCCAAGAAGCAAAAUAAUUUAAAAUAAAAUCUCACUUAUAAAAUACCAACAAAGAGCACCAAAAAACUGAGCAUUAUUUCCUCAAAAGUAGAACAGAAGAAACUGAAAAAAAACAAAACAAAAUUUAAAAAGGAGAGAAAGAAAAAAAAAGAAUUUGAUUGGACAAAGGAGGAGAAAAAAUAUUUAUUUCAACUCAUAAAAUGUUGAUGGGGACUGGGUCUAGGGAUCUAUUAAAAAAAAAAACAACCCUUUCCUUCCAUCUUAGAACAGAUACUAAGAAAUUAUUUCCAAGAAAGCAGAGUAGACUCUAAAUGAACAUCCUAGUGCAAACAUCAGCAGCAUGAAAAUAGGUUCUGAUCAAGGACACAAGUAAUACCCAAUGAAAUUGCAUGUUGGCUGUGGGAGGGGUGAGUGGAGGGGAGGGAUAGAAAUAUUGUGAUUAUUGUA